AAAAGCAGAAAAUCUAACUCAGCUUCUGGAAGUUCUCGUCUCUAGUGGACUCCGGAGUCAUCUCCUGAGCUGUCAGGUUUUGGCUGUGAGGCACGGGUGGGAUCUUGGCUGCCUGACGAGGGAUCUAACCCCUUGGUGGAUCUAACCUCCUGCAUUGGAAGGUGAAGUCCAACCCUUUAGACCACCAGGGAAAUCUCUGUAUUCGACUUCUUAACUGCCAAGAUGUUGUUUCCUUUUUCCUUAAGGUAGAGAAAAGACGUGAAAGAAGGGCAUUUCCAAACCGUAGCCUGACACAGUGACCAUGACUAUGGGAGAUGGCUAAACUGCAGACCUUCCUGAACUCAGAGCUAUUUUGCAAAAGCAACUUUCCUUCCAGGUAUUAUCUUUUCCUUGACUGGAACAGGAAGAUUAAGUCAUUAGCUUCAAAUCUUUUAACCAGCACAUGGUGAAGACUAGAUUCCGACCCAGUCCUGCCUGACCCCAGAGCCACACCCUUAGCUUCCAGGUGAUGCAGCUUCACAGCCUGGUUGCCCCCCAGGAGUGAGUCAAUAAAAAUUCCAUUAUGCAGAUAAGCACUGCGCUGCAACGGGGACGUGUGCCGUUCUUUGGAGAUCACAGAAAAGAGUAAAGAAAACUUUUUUGCCUUUCAGUCCUUUAGACUAAAGAAAAUUCUUGACUAACUUAUUUUCAAAGACUCAAAUAUAAAUUUCAACCAUGAAUCUUCCAAGGGUUUGAAUGCAAAUGUCAAAACAUAAGGUGUCGCGCUCUCCGCCUGAUGCUCUGCGAUGACCUAGAGCAGUGGGAUGGGGGCGGGGUUUAAAGGGAGGCUCAAGAGGGAGGGGGUAUAUGUAUACCUAUAGCUGAUUCCCAUUGUUGUACGGCAGAAAUUCAUACACGACACUGUAAAGCAAUAAUUCUCCAAUUACAAAAAUAAAAACAGAAGGUGUGCUCUGAUUCUCCUUAUGUUGGACACCAAGGAGUUAGAACCUGGAUUCCCUUAGCAUCGAGACAUUUCUUGAAAGGUGCUGGAUACAUCAUUUUCAUCCUGUUAUUCUUGGUUUCUUUCAUUGGCACUCUUCUCACUAAGCCCGCUUCUCUAGAAACCGACCAAGGGAACAGCCACCCCAAGUGUGUGUCGUGUUUAUAACCUCCAUAUCUGGAAAGUCCAUCAGACUUGUGAUAUUUGCCUUUCUCCUUAAGGCUGGUCAUGUGAUCUUCCUGUAAAGGAAGCCUGGACUAAUCCAGUCAGAAGAUCUGGGAGGAACAAAGGGUGUCUUGGAGAAGAAGAUAGGAGAGAGGAAAUGGGCGAUAGGAGAAAAAGAAUGGAAAGGACAGAAGGUGAAGUGCUGUCUGGAGGAACUUCCUAAAUCAUCACCUAAGCUUAUCUCUAAUGUUUACAAUGCUGAUUAAGGUUCCUUUGCAACUCAGCAGCAGAAGGAAAAAUAUAUGCACAGAUCUAAGCAUGGAAAACAGACGGUCAGCUUGGAAAAUACAAGAACUCAUCCUGAAUUACCCAGCAAAGGGGCAGCUGACCAUCUGAGACCAGACUACGAUACGACAGAGAUUCAAGAGACAGGAGGUUGGAGCCUGAGGCCACUCGGCCAAAUUCAGUACUCCCCAUCUUCUGACACCAUCCCAUCGCCCUUGACAACCUUCUGGUUCGUUUUAUGUAAUAACUUUUUCCCCAAAGCCAUAAUCAUCAUGGUAGGAGGGAGAAUUAUGACAUCACAAAUAAUAACAGUAC